rnacentral:rRNA from 1 species
AGCUCCAAUAGCAUAUAUUAAAGUUGUUGCAGUUAAAAAGCUCGUAGUUGGAUUUCUGGCAUGAUGCGCCUGGCCCGCCUCAAUUCUGAGUGUGUGUGCGAGUGCGCGUCUGCCAUCCAUUUGCAGAAUGUGCCUACUCUUCAUUGAGCCGGGUACGUGAUGUAAAUCUUUUACUUUGAAAAAAUUAGAGUGUUUAAAGCAGGCAUUUGCUAUGAAUACAUUAGCAUGGAAUAAUAAUCUAGGACUUCGGUUCUAUUUUGUUGGUUUCUAGAUCUGAAGUAAUGAUUGAUAGGGAUAGUUGGGGGUGCUAGUAUUAAGGGGCCAGAGGUGAAAUUCUUGGAUUCUCUUAAGACUAACUUAUGCGAAAGCAUUCACCAAGGAUGUCUUCUUUA